UGGUCACCAAUUUUGACUAGUUUUAUUAUUAACAAAUCAAAAAGAAAAAGCUAUCAUUUUUCUCUUCUCCUUCACCGAAAUACGCAGCAAAGAAAGGGCUUUGAAGCUGGAAAAUUCAGCAACAUAUUUCCCUUGCUUAGUUUCUAGGUUAGCUCGGGUUGGAGGCCGUCAGGGAUAUUAUCACACUGUCAAGCUAACGCUAUUGGUAUAGUGAUUUCAAGUACUUUGAGCCUAUGGCAUGUAUAGGAGUUUAAAUAUUAGAGUAUGUGAUAUGGCUUUAACCAUAUGUGUUGGCCUAUUUUGAUUAUGGGGUUGUAAAUCUAUUUUAAUUAUGCAUGCAUGUGGUAUGGUAUUAUGUGAUGAGUUUAUAAUGAUUAUAGUAUGAAUGUGGUAAAAA